UAGGCCUGAUUUCGCGACUGACACUCAGGGACGAGAGCCAGGGGAGCGAAUGGGAUUAGAUACCCCAGUAGUCCUGGCCGUAAACGAUGGAUACCAAGCCCUGCGCGUAUCGACCCGGGCAGGGCUGUAGCUAACGCAUGAAGUAUCCCGCCUGGGGAGUACGCUCGCAAGAGUGAAACUCAAAGGAAUUGACGGGAGCCCGCACAAGCGGUGGAGCAUGUGGUUUAAUUCGAUGCAACGCGAAGAACCUUACCAGGGCUUGACAUGCCGCGAACCCCCCUGAGAGGGGAGGGUGCCUUCGGGAGCGCGGACACAGGUGGUGCAUGGCUGUCGUCAGCUCGUGUCGUAAGAUGUUGGGUUCAGUCCCGCAACGAGCGCAACCCCCGUCUCUAGUUGCCCACAAUUCGGCACCCUAGAGAGACCGCCGGUGUUAAGCCGGAGGAAGGUGGGGAUGAGGUCAAGUCAACAUGCCCCUUUUGCCCUGGGCGACACACGUGCUACAAUGGCCGGGACAAAGAGAUGCGACCCCGCAAGGGCCAGCCUGACCUCGUAAACCCGGCCUCAGUUCGGAUUGUAGGCUGCAACCCGCCUACAUGAAGGAGGAAUCGCUAGUAAUCACCGGUCAGCCAUACGGUGGUGAAUCCGUUCCCGGGCUUUGCACACACCGCCCGUCACACUAUGGGAAUCGGCCAUGCCCCAAGUCGUUACCCCAACCCGUAGGGAGGGGGAUGCCAAAGGCAG
rnacentral:rRNA from 1 species